rnacentral:lncRNA from 1 species
UCCUCCCGUAGCAGAGGUCCUGGCAGGGGUGUGUUGGGCUGCCGGCGGGAGGUGGGCUCUGCCCAUUCCAUCCUUGCCCCGAUAUCUGUUGGCUCCCGUCUGGUUUCGGCAAUGGGACUGCAGGAAUUCCUGCUGUCACAUCCUCGGUUCUGUUCUUUUGCCCUGGGCUGGUAGCGUGGCUUCUCCCCUGACUGCUGCCUUGGGUCUGCUCUGGUUUUGCCCGCUGUGCUUUUCGCCCGGAGGGUCCGAGGAAGGAAACUCAGUUCUCUUCCUUUCAUUUGGAAUAGGUUAAAACAAAGUGGCAGCGGAUCCGUGCCAGAGCAAGGUCGGCGCUGCAGGUUGGGAGCUGCGGGUUGCGAGCAGUCUGAAUCUUGUUGUGCAGUUUCUCAAAGCCUUAUGGAAAGCCUUUCUCCUUCCUGGCUCUUUCCCUUCCCUUUAUUUCUGUUUCUGCCUUUGCUGCCAGGAGAAAUAAGCAAAAAGGGGAGUGCUGCAGCUGGCAACCAUUAUCUCCCAAAAUAAAGCGCCGUCCCCUUUGGCAGGGAGCUCCCAACCUGCCACAGCUUCAGAGAGAUCAGGAGGGCACGUUCCUCCCAAGCCAGCCCUGUGGAACGUGCAGCCAUCACAGCGGCACGGAUUGGGAUGGAGAAGGCGACCGGGUUGUUUUGUCUCCUUGGAAAAGAGGGUUUGGGGCUCCUAGGGGAAGAGCGGAUGAUCAUCGCGGCAACCGUGCCAGCCGCAGCUGGCCUCGCCGCUGCUGGAGGGUUAGCCUGGCCCUGGGAACACCACCGGAGGAAGGCAGGUUUGUGGGAGGAGGAGAGGAGGGGGCUGCCGGCACCGCUUGGUGCCCAACCAGGGCCUCGUCCUCCUGGCGUUGGGGCUGCGGAACGCUCCGGCCCCUCCCCAUCCCUGCCACGUCGGUCUCACGGUUCCUCUCCGCCGCCCCGACCUGUAGAUGUCCAAAGUAAUUAUGGAGUGUGAUUAGUCCUCUGUGGGUGCUUUCUUUCUUCCUUUCUUUUUCGCUAUCCCCUUCUCCACUCUUCUCUCUGGCUAAGUGGAAAAGGUGAGGACAAAGACUUGCCGCUUGCUUGGACUCAUGGUGUACUGUGACUGCGCUGUUAGCUGUCUCCUCUCUCCUUCCCAAAUGGAUAUCAUUUCUGAAGUGUGGAAUUCCCUCCUUGAUAAGUA